AGUGGGAUAGCUGGAUCAAAUGGUGGUUCCAUUCCAAGUUUUCUGAGGAAUCUCUACACUGCUUUCCAAAGAGGUUGCACCAAACUGCAGUCCCACCAGCAAU
rnacentral:pre_miRNA from 1 species